AUUUGGAUACUUCUAUGAACUCUAGCAACCAGAUCGAUGGACCAAUCCCUUAAAAACAUCCUAGCUUAGGCACCAUUAUCUUCAGAUAUGGGUUGGCGAAGCACCAAAGAUUGGAGGAUAUCUUAACCCAAGAUAGGUCCUUCUGCAAAUGGAAGCUUCGGAUCGAAAUAACCGAUGGAAACGGCUCGAUGACGAUGUAGCCAAAAGGUCGGCUCAAGAAUCGCCUUGAAAAUUUUUGUCGAGUGAACUAUGACCUCCGAGGAAGAUCUAACUACUCUAAAGGUCUACCCAAUGACAGAUAUCGAACAUAUCCCAAAGCUCAUGACUCGAUAAUUGUACGAUCCUAUGGCAUCGAAGAUUCCAAUGAAGAGUCGUGCUCUCAAAAGAAAAAAGAGAAAAAAAAAGAAUGAGGAAAGAGAAGUCGAAAUGCAACCAUGAAAGAUGUACAUGUGAUAAAAGUUUGUCUUACAUUUUUAAUUUAAUUAUAUAAAUGGUGCCAAUGAGGCAUUAGGC
rnacentral:lncRNA from 1 species